rnacentral:lncRNA from 13 species
AGCAUUUCAUUACGGACUGUUGGUGAGUCUAGAGAUAAUUUAGAAAAGACUUUGGACCUUUCAAAGCUCAAUGCUGAAAUCAACUUGGCAGUCAUCAUGUACAUAUUUUGCUAUAUAUUACACUGAUUGGGAAAUACGCUUUAUAAAUUUAUAUGUGUACAUAUAUGUAUAAAAAAAUAUAUAUCUUUUUAAUAUUAA